rnacentral:rRNA from 1 species
GUUUCUUGGAUCUUACUUUACUUGGAUAACUGUGGUAAUUCUAGAGCUAAUACAUGCAACCAAGCUUCGACCUUCUGGAAGGAGCGCAUUUAUUAGACCAAAACCAACCAGGCUCCGGCCUGUAUUUUGGUGACUCUGAAUAACUCUGCUGAUCACACGGUCCUAGAACCGGUGACAUAUCUUUCAAGUGUCUGCCCUAUCAACUUUCGAUGGUAGUUUAUGUGCCUACCAUGGUUGUAACGGGUAACGGAGAAUAAGGGUUCGACUCCGGAGAGGGAGCCUGAGAAAUGGCUACCACAUCCAAGGAAGGCAGCAGGCGCGCAAAUUACCCACUCUCAGAUCGAGGAGGUAGUGACGAAAAAUAACGAGACGGUUCUCUUUGAGGCCCGUCAUCGGAAUGGGUACAAUUUAAACCCUUUAACGAGGAUCUAUUGGAGGGCAAGUCUGGUGCCAGCAGCCGCGGUAAUUCCAGCUCCAAUAGCAUAUACCAAUUCUGUUGCUGUUAAAAAGCUCGUAGUUGGAUCUUUUCCGAGGGUCCAGUCUGUCUCAAGGACAUGUACUGGAUUCCGAGGAUAUAGACGCUGGUCUUCUCAUGGUCCUCUUUAUUGAGUGCCUUGGGUGGCUAGCACGUUUACUUUGAAAAAAUUAGAGUGCUCAAAACAGGCGAUACGGCCCGAAUAGUGGUGCAUGGAAUAAUGGAAUAGGAUCUCGGUUCUAUUUUGUUGGUUUUAAGAGCGCGAGAUAAUGAUUAAGAGGGACAGACGGGGGCAUUCGUAUUGCGGCGUUAGAGGUGAAAUUCUUGGAUCGCCGC